UAUUUAAUCCUGGAGGUAACAGGAAUCCACUUAAAUAAGGCUAGAAAGGUAAUUGGGCCAAGAUUAUGGAGGACUCAAAUAUAUAGGCAGUGGGAGGUCACUGAAAACUUAUGCAAAAAAGACAAAAGAUAUCAGAAGUGAGCUUUUAGGACUAUUAUGGAAACAGUUUUAUGAAGGAUUGAUUGGAGAAGAGAGAGAUUGGAGAUAGGAGGCAAGAAGACGAAAAUAAUGUGGAUCUCUUAGGACCCUUAGGCUGAUAUUAUAUCCUUCAGGGAGAUUCAUAUGUCUAGUCAGCAUCUAAAUUAUGACUCAAACCCUGGUCUUUUGACUGCAGUUUCAAAGCUCUUUAUAUCUAGCUUCUUAUAACUAUGCUAUUACUUCUAGGAGGAUUUGAUUGUAGGUACUACAGGGAGAGAAAAUGCUUAAAACAAAAGAAAUGACUCAAAUGUUAAAAUUUCAAGCAUACUGUAGUAAGACCUGAAUGAAAAAAGUAUUUUCUUACAUUUCUCAUAUCAUAUUACUGACUUUAAAUAUCUUGUUUCAGUGGGGAAUGGCCAUCUCUAUAUUCUGACACUUUAUAUUUUAAAGUAAAAAUUAGGGGGAAAAUAGAGCCAAUUAUUUCAGGGAAUACAAUUGUGGAAGAAUAUAACUAUGAAUUUUUAUUUUUUUAAGAUAGUAAAUAUUAUGUGGGUCUAAAUUUCUCUUCUACUUUUUAUCAAAAAUAACACAAGCCCUCUAUAAAGGUAAUUAGGUAUCUCUACAAAGUGCAUUACAUUGUGGUGGACUUUUAUUUUCUUCCUUUGGUGUCUUCAGGGUCUGAUCAAAUCCCUGUUGUUUCUUUAAAACCUUGUUCAUUACUGCUAACAUAAUGUUUACAGAUUUUAGAAACAAAGACGAUUUACUUUUUAAUUAUUUUCUUGCUUGUCUCAGGCAAUGUUGUUGUCAAGGAAACCAUAAUCUUUGAAAAGGCUUGUUCUACUUCUUCAGAUUCCCUGGUUGGAAGAGAUUACUUGGAUAGUAUUUAUCUUGGCUGUGGAAACAGACACGUUAUUUUGCAUCAAAAUCCACUUCUUUUAAAAGAGAUUGUGUCCUCUUGUGACUAUAAAUAGAAACUUCUUGACCUUUUAGUGUAAGAUCAAAGGUUCCUGUUGGUAUUUUCCUUUUUAGGGAUUGCUUCUGUGUAUACACACUGUGUGUAAGAGCUGUGAGACUGAUGAAUUCUGAGGGGAAAAUAGUUUUCUUUUUUAAAAAAGAAUAGAAAAAGAGGCUCUCUCUCAAAUGUUUAAAGAACAAAUAGAUAUAUUUUAGACUCUUUGCUCAGUAACACUCAGGAGAUGUUAACAUACUAUACUCAGAGGCAUAGAGGUGUUGCUGGAAUGCUUUGAGUUACAAUCUACUUUUAUUGCAAGAAAGUGUUAUGUUAUUGAGACAUUUAAACAAGUAGCUACAUUGAAAUUUUCUUAUUGUUAAAUUAGGAGAAGAGAGGAAACCAGUAUGAUGUAAUGGAAGGAAUAUUUGACUGAAUACCAGGAGAUCUGGGCUCUGCCACUAGAUUCACUCCUUUUUCAAGGUUAUGGCAGCAAAGCACAAGUUUUGUCAUGUUCUGCCAAGAUGGAAAGAUAUAAGUAUAAACCAGGCACUAGAACAAGUGCAGACUAGCCUGCUUAAAGAUGCAGAAGCUCAUCCCUGGAUGUUGGACUCUGGAUGAUCUUUGUUGGCUACAACUACAUUGACUCUUCAAUCAUAGAGGGGUUGUGCUGUUCUUUGGAAUAGUAAAGCUGUUGCCACGGAAACAGAAACCUAUGAAGAGCUUUGCUCCACUUUGGUUGCCCAUAAAGAAGAUUACUUGAAAUACACAGGAUUCCAGUAUUAGGUAAGCCUCUACAAUAUUACCUCAGAAUUCUUUUUAUAAAAUGCAAACAGAUUAUAGAGUAAAAAAAGUUGUUUUAUUUAUAUAAUCAUUUAUAACUUCAGACUUAAAAAUGUGGUAAACGGAAGGAAAGCGAAGACACACACAUUUAUUAAUCACUUACAAUGUGCCAGGAACUGUACUAAGCAAUGGGGAUAUAAAUGCACAAAAAGAAAGGAGGGGAGGUGCCCUCAAAAAUUAUGAGAGAUAUUAUAAUGAGGGAAGACAAUACACAAAAGGGAACUGAAAUGGGGAGGGGAAGGCAUGAAAAUGUCCAGGGUGAGGCACAUGAUUUUGAGAUCUGGAAGCCAAUAAGGUGGAGAAGGAAUAAAAGCCAACCUACACAAAAUGGAGGCUCCAGGAGGCACUUGCCAGUGGGAGAAAGAAACAGAUCUUCCAUGUUGAGAAGGCCCCAGGAAUGAUUAGAUGGUUCAGGAAAAGAAUGUUCUAGAUGCUAAGAGGAAGUUCUAGGAUGAGAAAACAUACUUUUGAAAGCAUGAAGCCACAAUCGGGGAUCUGGAAGCCAGAAAGAAGGUAAAAUGGUUUUCCUCAAAUUUGAUGAAUGAUCCCAUUAAAUUGGAUAAUGUUAAAUUAAAACACACUAGUUAAAACAGAUACAGUGCUUAAAGGUGCUAGUCACCUUGGUUUGAUUGAUUUUAUUAACGAGUUAUCAAAAAUAAACCAAUUAGGAUUCAGAUGUUUGUUGUUCUCAUCCUUAGACAUCAAAGUUGUUAUCUAUGCUAUCUGAAAUUGAAACUGGUUAAUAUUGACUAAUUAAUCUUUAUAUGCCCUUGCCCAGUGUCUUUCUGAUGGGGGUGUGAAACUGUGUUCCCUUUUGAUCUGUAAAAUUAAUACUCUGAAAUUCUAUCCUAUUUGAUUCCCGGCCUCUCAGACUCCAUAAAGUUUGAGAGAGAGCAUAUCUCCCCAAAUAAGUUAAACAUUAUUCAAUUGAAUAUCUUGGUCAAAAACACUCCAUUGAUCUUUUGGAGGUGCCACUUCAGGAAAUUCCAGGUUCUUGAAAAAGAUCUUGGUCUGAUAAUCAUCUCAAAUUGCUACCAGCUCCCCGCCAAGAUCUUCUCAUAAAGGAGCUGUGCCGACUAAAAGGGGAUUCCCACAACUCUCUGACUGCCACUAGAACCCCAUCAUUUCUUCGGUGCUUUAUUGUGAUGGAGAGAUAUCUCUGGGUUCCCCACAACUGUGCCAAAGGAAUGUAAGCUCCAGCAUUUCCUAUAAAACUCAAUAGUAGAGUAUUUUUUUUGAGUAGCCCUGCUCAAUCUGGAGAAGUUUAUCUUUACCAGAGACUGGACUUCCAGCUGACGACUUUUUUCAACCAUAGCAACUCCAUUACUGUUGUCUCUGGAAGUAUAAGGGGUGAGAUGAUCUGUAUUAUUGGAGUAAGGACCACUCUAAUGAAAUAAUUAGGCUUAAACAGAUAUCAUUCAAAUUUGUGACAUGCUAGUAAUUUCUGGUACUAAUUUAGUGAUGAUGAGAAAGUGCAUUUGAAUUCCUUGGCAUAGAAAGUCAGUAACUAGUGAGUAGCUCUGAAAGGUACACCAGCCUUGGCUUCAUGCCAAAGAUUCAUUCAAACAGCACAUUUAGGCAGGGUUUCUAGUGCUAGUGUUUGGCAACAAACUCUAUCAUUGUGCAUUAAGAAACUCAGAAAGAGGAAAGGAGGAGGACCUCAUCCUUGCAUAGGUAUGUAUUUAGAGGGAUUAGGUAUAAUUGACUGCCUCUGUUGACUGCUACAUGACCUAGUGAAUAGAGUAAUAGGCCUGAAGUCAGGAAUAUCUGAGUUCAAAUCCAACCCCAAGAUACUUACUAGAUAUGUGACUAUGAGUCAGAAAGACUAUGGAUAACAUUCUUUGUCUACUUCAAUUUCCUCAAUUAUAAAAUGGAAAUAAUAAUAACUAUAUCC